GGCGGCGUAGCUCAGCUGGUUAGAGCACACGGCUCAUAUCCGUGUUGUCCGGGGUUCAAGUCCCUGCGCCGCCACCA
rnacentral:tRNA from 2 species